rnacentral:rRNA from 1 species
GUAAAGCGCGCGCAGGCGGCACUUCAAGUAAGGUGUGAAAUCUCCCUGCUCAACGGGGAGGGUGCACUUUAGACUGAGGAGCUCGAGGACGGUAGAGGGGGGUGGAAUUGCUGGUGUAGCGGUGAAAUGCGUAGAGAUCAGCAGGAACACCCGUGGCGAAGGCGGCCCCCUGGGCCGUACCUGACGCUGAGGCGCGAAGGCUAGGGGAGCGAACGGGAUUAGAUACCCCGGUAGUCCUAGCAGUAAACGAUGGCCACUAGGUGUGGGGGGUGUUGACCCCUUCCGUGCCGAAGCCAACGCAUUAAGUGGCCCGCCUGGGGAGUACGGUCGCAAGACUAAAACUCAAAGGAAUUGACGGGGACCCGCACAAGCAGCGGAGCGUGUGGUUUAAUUCGAUGCGACGUGAAGAACCUUACCAAGGCUUGACAUGCACUCGCAAGCUCCCGAAAAGGAGCCCUCCUUCGGGACGGGUGCACAGAUGUUGCAUGGCUGUCGUCAGCUCGUGUCGUGAGAUGUUGGGUUAAGUCCCGCAACGAGCGCAACCCUAA